rnacentral:tRNA from 1 species
GGAUAGGUGUCCGAGUGGCCGAAGGAGCACGAUUGGAAAUCGUGUGUGCGGUUAUAAGCCGUACCGUGGGUUCAAAUCCCACCCUAUCCG